rnacentral:rRNA from 1 species
CAGCCGCCACGGUAAUACGUAGGUGGCAAGCGUUGUCCGGAAUUAUUGGGCGUAAAGGGCUCGCAGGCGGUUUCUUAAGUCUGAUGUGAAAGCCCCCGGCUCAACCGGGGAGGGUCAUUGGAAACUGGGAAACUUGAGUGCAGAAGAGGAGAGUGGAAUUCCACGUGUAGCGGUGAAAUGCCUAGAGAUGUGGAGGAACACCAGUGGCGAAGGCGACUCUCUGGUCUGUAACUGACGCUGAGGAGCGAAAGCGUGGGGAGCGAACAGGAUUAGAUACCCGCGUAGUCCCUGUCUCUUAUAA